rnacentral:rRNA from 1 species
UACGUAGGGUGCGAGCGUUGCUCGGAUUGACUGGGCGUAAAGGGCGCGUAGGCGGUUCGUACAGUCAGACGUGAAAUUCCUGGGCUCAACCUGGGGGCUGCGUUUGAUACGUGCGGACUUGAGUGCGGAAGAGGGUCGUGGAAUUCCCAGUGUAGAGGUGAAAUUCGUAGAUAUUGGGAAGAACACCGGUGGCGAAGGCGGCGACCUGGUCCGAUACUGACGCUGAGGCGCGAAAGCGUGGGGAGCAAACAGG